rnacentral:rRNA from 1 species
UACGUAGGGCGCAAGCGUUAUCCGGAAUUAUUGGGCGUAAAGAGCUCGUAGGCGGUUUGUCGCGUCUGCUGUGAAAGACCGGGGCUCAACUCCGGUUCUGCAGUGGGUACGGGCAGACUAGAGUGCAGUAGGGGAGACUGGAAUUCCUGGUGUAGCGGUGAAAUGCGCAGAUAUCAGGAGGAACACCGAUGCGAAGGCAGGUCUCUGGGCUGUAACUGACGCUGAGGAGCGAAAGCAUGGGGAGCGAACAGG